CCCGCGCAGGGGUGUCCACGCGGGGCCCGAGCACGCCCGGCCCGCGGGCUUCCCGAGGAGGGCUGCCCCUAAGGAGGAGGGCCGGAGGGCCGGGCGGGCUCCCCGGGCGGCAAAGGCCCCACAUCCCUAGGGGUGCGGUGCUCGCGGUGACCCGGUGGCGCUGCCCGGGCCAGCCCAGCAGCCAGCAGCCAGGGAGGCAGGCCCGGUGGCACUGUGCCCGGCCGUGAGGACCUGGCUGCCACCGAGACAUGCGUGCCAGCCGCCGGAGCGCCCUCGUGGAGGCGCAGGCCAGGUACCCGGUCAUUCACUUUGGGAGUCCUAUGAGUGACAUCUCAGAAAGCACCAUCCCAGGCGGAGGAAGCUGGCUGUACAGAACCGACAGGAGGCGACCGAGUAACCAGAGCCCAAGGCUGCGCCUCAGAGGCGGCCGGGUGUGCAGGCUUUCGCUGGUUUGCACAAAAGCACCCGUAGGACUGUGUCUGACCAGAGGCGGGAGCUUUUCCAGUUCUCAUCAAGUCCUCCUAGGUCGCAGGAAAGCCCUGAAACACACGUCCUUGUGCUCCCACCCGUCCCGGAACGAUCUUCCCACCUCUCUGCAUGGAGAGUGCAGGUGGGAUCUGGGGGCACCCAGCAACGCCUGGCUUCGCCAGAGGCUCUUCUGCCCCGUCCUUCCUGGGGUGCUCCUGAUGGAUCCGCAUGCACAGGGCCAGAGGCAAACAGCGGAGUGCCCGCCGUCCACUUCGGCCUGGGAAUUCCAGGAUCCCUCUGAGCCAACCGCCAGGGCUCCCCAGAGGUCGGAGCGGGAGGACGAGAAAGCCAGGCUCCCGGGCUCCGCUCCCUCGUGCCAUCCUCAGGCCUGGACGGCCCCGGGAAGGCCACGCUGGGCAAAGGGCCCCUGUCACUCGGGAGCUGCCCCUGGCCGACGCGCUGACCCACAGCCCUGGAUCCCGACCAAGCGGUCAGCAGCAGCUCCGGGAGCCAAGCCAGGAGGGGUGGGGCCACUUUCUGUCCCCUGCAGGAACACGGUCUCGUUUGAUCCUCACGGUCUCCCUCUGUACAGGGGAGGAAACUGA
rnacentral:lncRNA from 1 species